CUAUUAUAUAUUAGGCAUUCAGCUAAUACUGGGUCACAUCUUUGUGAAUCUGCAGGUAAAUGCCUUUCCCAAGUGAAGAUUUUUCUGUUUCCAGAACUUCACUUCAGAGAGCUUCCCAUGCUUGAGUCAUGCAUUAGCUUGUGACAAGUUAUUUUUUAACAACUUUUCUUCCCGGCAGUCACCACCUGUGAUGAAAACACAGAGGAGGAAGUUACAUCCCAGCGGCUAAGAAUAAUAGCAAGCAGUCUUUUGAACUAUUUAGCUGGAGGAAAUGAUGAAAAGUUAUUGAGUCAUCAGAUGUAUUUCCCUCUGUUUUCUCAGGAGAUGUUUUCUACUUCCUGUGAGACAGACCCAGGAAAAUUUGCUGAAGAGCAGGCAAUUGGUGUGAGAUCUUCUGCAAACAUUCUUUCACUGAAGGAAGAAGAGAGCAAACAGCAUGAAGGAAGAGGGACCAAACAGCAGAGAUGGCACAUAGCUUGGGAGUUAGAAGAGGCUGCUGGAUAGGUUAAAACAGUAGAGUUCACUUGGGAAUCUGACUGUAUUGUGGGAGGAUCUUUCUCCAUCCUUCUGUCUGGAAGAGCAGCUCCCACCCAGAGAGCACUGGGAGAGUGCGCUCCACACCUCCAGGCCAUUGGUCAGCUCACGGAGACGGCAUCACCACCACGAAGGCAGCCUCCUCCUCUGUGUGACUUCAGAGCAGGGAGAGGACAGGGUCCUGCUGCUGCUUCACAAGAGAGGAACCUACAGGCUAAAUGCCACUUGGAAGCUGCUGAGAAGGACCCACUGGCCAUGGGGGACCAAUGCCCACUACUGAAGAUGAACUUGCUUGCUCUUCUCCGCAACAGCAAAGCCAAAUGAUGUCUGACCUGCCACUCAAGUUUCCAGUUACAGAAAAGACCCUGCUUCAUUCAGCCUGCCCACCCCAGCUGCCCUGAUCUCAAAGUGCAGACAGAUCACAGGUACUGACCUCAACAUCACCUAUCAAAAAGGCAGCUAGUUCUUAGCAGGUAAUCACCUGGGUUUUAUCCAGAAUUGUGUGUGUGUAUGUGUGAUUGAGAGAGAGAAGGAAGGAGGGAGGGAAUAAAGAGGGAGAAAUAGGCACAGUUCUGAUUGCUGUCAGCUGCGCAAUCUUGCUCGACUGUGGCUUGCAGGGCACUCAGAACUCUUGGGAAGUUGAGGCAAGGGAAGCGGGCAUUUCCAGCCACAAAGCCUGCUUUGUAUACAAUUUGUUUGCCGGGGCAGAAAGAAUUGGUGAGCUCUUGAUGCUAACUCAGAAUAAUAUUGGUCAGGGGAGAGGGUGAUUUACUCAAGAUGUGCAGCUUCCUUUUAUUGAAAUGUUUUAAAGAUGGAAGGAGAGUCAAGAAACCAAAUUAAAGCACACAUUUCAAGUAAUGUAAUGUGCAUCUGGCAUGUUUAGGUAUGAUUCAGAACAUGUCUGUCUGAGCGUUAUUGGAUUGCUUUAUAAAGGUGUUUUCUAGAGGGCACGGACCAUGUGGGGUGAGCAGGUGUGCUCUCUCUCUCCCCCAGCACACAGAUAUACUCCCCCAAUACUGCAAAACCACGUCUUUCCAGAAUGCCCACCUGUAUCAAAUGGCUCUCAGCACGGAGUUCUGAAUGUCUUCUGGUUGUAAAACCACUGAAACAAGUAAGAAUAAAUGAUCCUGAGACUAAGUCCCCAUAAUUAUCACUGCAGAGCCUGGUCAUGCUCAUGGUCACGAUUACCUUUAGCUUUAGUUGCCUUUCGUUUGCUCUGGUGAGAAAAUCAGCCAGGCAAACUCCCCCUUUUCCCAUCUUCUCUGUAGACUAAAGAAAAGUCAGUCACUCUCUUCUCUUUGUAAUAACCUGGCAGCAGUAUGUGUCUGUGUGUGUACGAAUGUGUAUGCAAGCAUAUGUGAUACAAGUGUGUGUCUAUGGGUUAUGCAUGUGCAUAUAUGUGUGUAUACAUGCUCAUGUGUGUACCUGUGUGGGGGCUUAUGUGUAUGUGUUUUUAAGGGGGAAGAGUUGCUAAUGUAGAAGUGUUUUGUUGCAAAAAUCUUUAGUGUUUCCACAUUGUGAGAGGUAGGCUCUCGGCAGGGCCUUCUCUGUCCUUCCUGUCACUGCAAAGGCCUGUUGAGUGGGACAUCACUGACCUCACUGUGUUGGCUGAGGGGUUCGAGCUAAGGGAGACUGGUUUGUGUGCAGUAAAAUGUGAAGGAGCAUUGCCUAAGACUAAAUGCCCCAGGACAUUAGACUUGACCUCUGUAUAAUGCUUUACAGUUUACUAAAAUGUUUCCAUCUAGGUUAAUUUGUUUAAUAAAGAUAUGGUCUUCGAGUUCUGGUUGCGGCUCAGUGGGUUAAGA